rnacentral:tRNA from 1 species
UCUAAUGUGGCAGAAAAAUGUAAUGAGCUUAAAAUUCAUCUAUAAAUAAAACUAUUUCUUUAGAA